rnacentral:rRNA from 1 species
GACGAACGCUGGCGGCGUGCUUAACACAUGCAAGUCGAGCGGUAAGGCCCUUUCGGGGGUACACGAGCGGCGAACGGGUGAGUAACACGUGGGUGACCUGCCCUCAGCUCUGGGAUAAGCCUGGGAAACCGGGUCUAAUACCGGAUAUGACUCCAUGACGCAUGUUGUGGGGUGGAAAGCCUUGUGCGGCUGAGGAUGGGCCCGCGGCCUAUCAGCUUGUUGGUGGGGUGANGGCCUACCAAGGCGACGACGGGUAGCCGGCCUGAGAGGGCGACCGGCCACACUGGGACUGAGGCACGGCCCAGACUCCUACGGGAGGCAGCAGUGGGGAAUCUUGCGCAAUGGGCGAAAGCCUGACGCAGCGACGCCGCGUGAGGGAUGACGGCCUGG